GACGAACGCUGGCGGCGUGCUUAACACAUGCAAGUCGAACGGAAAGGCCCUGCUUUUGUGGGGUUCUCGAGUGGCGAACGGGUGAGUAACACGUGAGUAACCUGCCCUUGACUUUGGGAUAACUUCAGGAAACUGGGGCUAAUACCGGAUAGGAGCUCCUGCUGCAUGGUGGGGGUUGGAAAGUUUCGGCGGUUGGGGAUGGACUCGCGGCUUAUCAGCUUGUUGGUGGGGUAGUGGCUUACCAAGGCUUUGACGGGUAGCCGGCCUGAGAGGGUGACCGGCCACAUUGGGACUGAGAUACGGCCCAGACUCCUACGGGAGGCAGCAGUGGGGAAUAUUGCACAAUGGGCGGAAGCCUGAUGCAGCAACGCCGCGUGCGGGAUGACGUCCUUCGGGUUGUAAACCGCUUUCGCCUGUGACGAAGCGUGAGUGACGGUAAUGGGUAAAGAAGCACCGGCUAACUACGUG
rnacentral:rRNA from 1 species